rnacentral:lncRNA from 1 species
CUGUGGAUAAGGGGCCCCCAAUCAUAUAACUUGGAUGUAUUAUAUAAUAUGCUUCCCUCUGGGAGAGGACUUUUCAUCUGACCAUGUGGCAGGCUGUAAGACUUUCAGCAGUAAAGCAAUCUCUUCAACUUUCUGUAACACUGACUAUGCUUAUUUGGUCAUAGGGCUCCCUGUGAAGAAAACCGUGGUACCCAUUAACAUCCUGGAAAAAUCUGGCAUUCCAUGUGACAUUCUAUAGAAAGGCUUUUCUAAGCUAUGUGGCCUCCCCAUGAACGUGCUCCAUGCAUUCACUCCCCAACAUGCCGAAUGCUAUUGUGUACCUCUGCUGUCCAAGAGACAAUUUCUUACCUCUUGUUGGGGAAUUAAUUUUGAGAAUUUAUUACCCAGGGACUAUCAGCAACCCCCUGACAGUGUGGUCCUCGAGUGAGCUGGCACUAAACAGUUUGUGUGAGGAAAUGGGAAAGAGCAGAGAGGAAAGACGUCCUCAAAGUAUGAUGUGGAAGUGGCGUUAAUCACGAUGCUAUCUGGUAGAGCUUUUAAGUGAAAAUUUAUGGAGGUGUUUGAUAUGGGUAACUAGGAAAGAGCAAAUUAGCUGGAGGCAGCAGGUUCAGCAAAGGUGAGGAGGAAGGAAUUAGAGACUGGAAGGCAAGUGGAAAGCAAGUAUAUUCCAUGGCUUGGAAUGAGGGGAAAAUUAGAGGACAGCUAGUGAAGGACACUGAAUCCUAAUUACAGUGUUUGAAAUGGACAUGAAUGGUGUGAGGGACCCCCAUAAAGAUUUCCAGGGAGAACAUAAUAGGAUGCAAAUAAUUUUUCCUGACCAAGGCCCUGUUAUCUGCUGUCAGACCUAUUUGAAGUGAUGCCUGACCCGAAUGGAAGCUACAGGGAUGAAGUGUAGGGACAAUUUGGUGGUCACAAGGGCAGAGAGAAGAAUCCAGUUCAGCUCAGAUGCUAGGAUCAUGGUGACUGGGAUCCAGGAGUUUCUGAAGGGUACACUUCUCCUCCAGUCUCAUAAAUUUGCCUUCCCCUCCCUCCUUGAAGCAAUGCUGUAGUUGUCAAUGAAGUUCUUAGCUGGAGGCUACCCAAUCACCAUCUAGUCAUUAGGAGAUAAAAACUAUUGAUCAUUAUUUGUCUGCUGCUCGUUGGAACCAGCAGGCCUCCUGCUAAUAUCUUUAUCCACUUCUAAGGCUGUCAGCCUAUCGACUUAAAAAACAACAACAACAACAACAACAAAAAACCAGUUGAUUGGAGUAAGAGCAAGGAAAUCUGGUGAUGCAGCAGGGGAUGGAAGGUCUGUCCUUUCUGUUAAUCUUAUUAUCUCUUCACUUGAAAAAAGCCCAAAGCACAAAGAAAGUACGAACAAAGAAGCAAAGCUCAGUGAGUAACCCCAAACUGCCCAUGCGAUCUUGCUGGCUUUGGUUUCCUCAUCUGGGCAAGAAGUUGGUUGGCACUAGACAUCGUCUUAUAUUCUGAGGCUGCACUAACCUCAGGGUAGUGCAUGGCUUCUUUGCAAAGGCUGCUGAUCCCCUGGGGUAUGUGAGGCACAGAGUGGACCAAAGAAGCCCUUGUUUUUCUGGUUUGGUGUAGCAAGUUCUGCACUAUAGCCAGCUGCAGGGAGUUUAUAUGUGAGCAAGCACACAGGACCCUUCUUGAGGCAUGCUCUGAUUGGAAACAAGGUGGUCCCCAGUAAAGGCAGUGGCCAAAGGCACAGAAAAUAUUCUCCUUCUUCUUCUUUUUUUUUUAAUUGACGACAUGUCGUCAUAGAAUGAAGAGUAGUCUCAAAAAGGAGCUCUAACAGUGAAAGAUUCAUCAACAAAAUCAUCAGCAGAUACCAAGUGAGUCUUCUUGGGCCCAGGCCUAUGUAGGUAGAGGAAGUAUCCUGAUGAUAGUGUUCUUGGUUGCAGGGACCUCAACCCUUAGUUGGAUAAUGAAGAUAAUCUCAUACAGAACAGUUGUAGCCUGUAUGUGCAGUGAGGGUCAGGGGUGAGAAAAGUCCCGAAAGUUUCCUUGUAGGGGAUAGGACUUAUUCUAGGCUGUGAAGACAAAGGGUUUGAAGAGGAAGAAGGAAGGAGGGGAUGUUGAAGGUGUCUGACAUGGAUGGAAGGGAAUCAUGGUUGGGGGUAGUAGCUGAUGCUCCUUGGUGGGCGCUAGUUACUCUGUGUGUGUUUGGGGGGUAUAGCUGUCAUAAACUUCCUGUAUUUAAAGUAUACAAUAUGAUAAGGCCUGACUUAUAUAGGACCUAGGAAACUACCUCCACACUCAAGAUAAUGAACUAUCACCAAGAAAAGACGCUUAGAGCCUUUUGUAAUCCCUGCUCCCCAUCACUCCCUGCUCCCCACAUCCGCUGGUAACCAGCGAGAAGAUGCCACCAUAAAUUUACAUUUUGAGUAGUUUAUGUAUAAAUGGAACCUGACACUAAGUACUCUUUCAUCUGGCUUUUUCCAAAGACAUAAUUGAUAGUCAUCCAUGUUUUGUGUAUAUAAAUAAUUCAUUCCUUUUAUUGAGGAGUAGUAUUCCAUUGUAUGGAUAAACUGUCAUUUGUUUAUCUGUUUACCAUUUGAUGCACAUUUAGGUUGUUUCCAGUUUUUGCUUUUGUAAGUAAAGCUGUCAUGAACAUUUAUGAACAGAUUUUGUAGGUAUACAUGAUGGCAUUGCUCACAUAUUCUAGAAACCCCCUGAUUCUCUCUGUACUUGUUUUAUCAAUUAUCAGAUGAUGAAUGUUGACAACUUUGACCAUAAUUGUGGACUUAACUAUUUCUCCUUAAAGUUUUAUUAGUUAUUGCUUCAUGUUAUUUUGAAGCUCUAUUAUAAGUUGCAUAAAAAUUUUGGAUUAAUAAUCCAAAUUAUUAUGUGACUCUGGUAAUUGACCCCUUUAUCAAUACAGCAUGACCUUUAUCUUUGAUAACAUUUGUUGUUCUGAAAUCUGCUUCAUAUGCUGUUAAUAUAGCAUUACAGCCUUCUUUUCAUGUUAUACACACAGGAAUAAAUAAAUAAAUAAAUAUACACACACACAUUCAUACACAGUUGGCCCUCUGUAUCCAAGGUUCUGCAUCUACAUAUUCAACUCACCUGUGGAUUGGGGUUGCUUGAAUCCACAGAUGUAGAACCUGUAUUAGGCCGUUUUAGGUAAGAGAAGUGAACAUCCAUGGAUUUUGGUAUACAUUGGGAGUCUGGUACAGUCCCCUGUGGAUACUGAGGGAUAUCUGUGUACACACACACACACACACACACAUAUCUGACUAUAUAUAUAUAGUUUCUUUUUUACUUAACUGUUUAUGUCUUUAUAUUUAAAAUAUUUUUCUUUUAGGUAGCACAAGAAGUUUGGUCUUAUUUUUUUUAUACAAUCUGAAACAUCUCUACCCUAUAAAACAUGUUAAGUUGAGAUAGAGAUUUACACACAGUUACACGAAAUGGUAGAGAUAGCCUGUGUUCCCUUUGCCCAAUUUUUCUCUAUAAUAUCUUACAAAACUAGAGUCUGAUAUCACCACCAGGAUAUUAAUGUUGAUGGAUCCAUCAGAUUUGCUCGGUUUCCUGCUGUACUUAUUGUAUUAAUGUGUGUAGACAUGUGUGUUUGGUUCUGUGCAAUUUUAUCACUGGAAUAGUUUUAUGCAUGUACUGCUACAGUCAUGAUGUGGAAUAGUUCCAUCAACACAAAGAUCUUUCCUGUUUCCUGUUCCUUUUUUAGGUAUUGAAUUUUGUCAAACACUUUUAUGCAUCGUUUGUUAUCAUAUGAGUUUUCUUCUUUGGCAUGUUGAUUUAUUGAGUUAUGUUGAUUGCUUUUUGAAUGCUGAGCCAGCUUUGCAUACCUGGAAUAUAUCCCAUUUAGUCAUGGGACACAAUUCUUUUUGGGACACAUCAUUGAAUUUGAUUUGCUAAUUUUCUGUUGAGACUUUAUGUCUAGGUUUGUGUUAAAUACUGGUUGGAAGUUAUCUUUUUUCUGUAUUUUUUUAAAAUCUGGUUUUGGUAAUCUCUACUUUUCAACUAGAACACUUAGGUCAUUUAUAUUUAAUAUGAUUAUUGAUAUGAUUAAGUUUAAAUCUAUCAUCAUACUGUUUUCUUUUUGUUCUAUUUUUCUUAUUUUUCUCUACUCCUACCUUAUUUUGGAUUGAUGGAUUAUUUCUAAAUUAUUCUAUUUCGUUUACUUUUUUGGUUGCCUUAUAUCUAUAACUCUUUGUUUAGUUAUUUUAAUAGUUUCUUUAAGGAUCACAAAACACAUCUCUGUUAUCAUAAUCUACCUUCAAGUAAUAAAUAUUAUACUAUUUCACAUGUGGUAAAGUUCUUAUAGUUGUAAAGCCCAGGACCCCUGGACUUUCAACUUUAUCUGCUUGGCUAUGCUCUGGGCUCUGCCUAGGUCCCCUCCUGUUGGCGCAUGGAUUAGAGGCUCUCUCAAGGCAGUAAACUGGGGCAAUCCUAAGGCUCUUCUCACCUGUGUCUUCUCUUUUAGGGAUCACCAUCCUUCAUUCCCUAAUGUAAUGAAGUCUUGAAAACCUUUGCGUGUAUAUGUUGCUUCCAUUUUUGUGUUUGAUUUGAUUUUUGUGUUUUGGUUUCAGAUAGGAUAAAUAUGGUUCCUCUUACUCCAUCUUGGGCAGAAGUAGGAAUUCCAAUUCCAAAACAACAAUGCAGAAAUUGUUUCCAUGUGUAUUCAUGUUAAAGUCAAAAUGCUAAUCCUUUCAAGAAAACUCCUGUUAUGGACUGGAGAGAAUGAAAGCAUCAAGGCCAGAGGACAUUUGUUAGUUAUUUCCCUUUAGAAAGAUCCAGUCCA